CAUAAUGUAAUUGGACCUGCCUUGGUUGUUUAUUUUAUCACCUUUACAAAAAUGCAUUUUAUAUUUACUUAAGUAAAUAUACCUCUCUGCGAACCGCCACCUUACCGUGGUGGAGGGGUUUGAGUGCCUGAAUGACCUCAGGAGCUAUGUUGCCUGGGGCUAUAUGCCCCUGGUAGGGUCUCCCAUGGCAAACAGGUCUUGGGUGACAGACGAGACAAAGCGCGGUUCAAAACCCCCUUAUGACUAUAAAAUCAAGGCUCUCGUUCACCCCGCCCAGUAUGGGGUCACCGGGGUCCCACCCUGGAACCAGGCCUAGGGGAGGGGCUUGCACGCGAGCGCCUGGUGGCCAGGUCUAUGCCCACGGGGCCUGGCCAGGCUCAGCCCGAAGCCAAGACGUGGAGCCACUCUUCGGUGGGCUCACCACCUGCUGGAGAGGCCGUAAGGGGCCGGUGCAUUGUGAUUUGGGCGGUGGUCGGGACCGAGUGCCCGGCCGACCCAAACCUCGGGCGCCAACUCUGGUUUUUGGGACUUGGAAUGUCACUUCACUGGCGGGGAAGGAGCCUGAGCUGGUGCAGGAGGUUGAGAGAUACCGUUUAGAUAUAGGCGGGCUCACUUCCACUCACAGCUUGGGUUCUGGAACCACUCUUCUCGACCAAGGGUGGACUCUCCACUAUUCUGGCGUUGCCCAGGGUGAGAGGCGGCGGGCGGGUGUGGGCUUAUUAAUAGCCCCCCGGUUCGGCCGCCAUGUGUUGGAGUCUACCCCGGUGAACGAGAGGGUCGUCUCCCUGCACCUUCGGGUCAGAGAACAGUCUCUCACUGUCGUUUGUGCUUACGCGCCUAGCGGCAGUGCAGAGUACCCGGCCUUUUUGGAGUCCCUGGGGGUGCGUGCUGGAAAGCGCUCCCACUGGGGACUCUUUCGUUCUACUGGGGGACUUUAACGCCCACGUGGGCAGCGACAGUGACACCUGGAGGGGCGUGAUUGGGAGGAACGGCCUCCCUGAUCUGAACCCAAGUGG
rnacentral:lncRNA from 1 species